GGCGCUAUAGCCAAGUGGUUACGGCGACAGAUUCGAAUAAAUUUCGUCUACGUCUAUAAUCUGUUCCUCUUUGAGGGCGCAGGUUCAAAUCCUGCUGGCGUCG